rnacentral:rRNA from 1 species
CCUACGGGGGGCUGCAGUGGGGAAUAUUGCACAAUGGGCGCAAGCCUGAUGCAGCCAUGCCGCGUGUGUGAAGAAGGCCUUCGGGUUGUAAAGCACUUUCAGCGGGGAGGAAGGCGGUGAGGUUAAUAACCUCAUCGAUUGACGUUACCCGCAGAAGAAGCACCGGCUAACUCCGUGCCAGCAGCCGCGGUAAUACGGAGGGUGCAAGCGUUAAUCGGAAUUACUGGGCGUAAAGCGCACGCAGGCGGUCUGUCAAGUCGGAUGUGAAAUCCCCGGGCUCAACCUGGGAACUGCAUUCGAAACUGGCAGGCUAGAGUCUUGUAGAGGGGGGUAGAAUGCCAGGUGUAGCGGUGAAAUGCGUAGAGAUCUGGAGGAAUACCGGUGGCGAAGGCGGCCCCCUGGACAAAGACUGACGCUCAGGUGCGAAAGCGUGGGGAGCAAACAGGAUUAGAUACCCGAGUAGUC